rnacentral:rRNA from 1 species
AUGUAAAUUUUUGUGUGGAUUUGGAUUUAUUUUAAUAAUAAAUUUUAUUUAUAAUAGUCGCAGUAAUUAGUAUUAUUAAUUUAGGAAACUAAGAAAUAGCAAUAUUAUUAAAUAUUGGCAAAAUUUGUGCCAGCAGUCGCGGUUAUACGAAUAAUAUAAGUGAAUUUAUAUCGGUGAUGAGUUAAGUUGGUUUAUAGUAGGAUUUAUUUAAUUAUAAGGUGAAAUUUAAAUUUGAAAAAUCCUUUUAAAUGAAAAACUGAAGCUUGGAAAUUUUAGUAAUAAACUAGGAUUAGAUACCCUAUUAUUUAAAAUGUAUAAUAUUACCAAAGUAGUAGUAGUUAUGUUCUUGAAACUUAAAAAAUUUGGCGGUAUUUUAGUCUAUUCAGAGGAACCUGUCCUGUAAUCGAUAAUCCACGUUGGACCUUACUUAAGUUUGUAAUCAGUUUAUAUACCGUCGUUAUCAGAAUAUUUUAUAAGAAUAAUAAUUUUCUAGAAUUUGUAUUAAGAUUUAUAUCAGAUCAAGGUGUAGCUUAUAUUUAAGUAGAGAUGGGUUACAAUAAAUUUAUUUAUAUGGAUAUAAUUUUGAAAUGAUUAUUGAAGGUGGAUUUGAUAGUAAAAUUAUAGAGAUUAAUAAUUUGAUUAUAGCUCUAAAAUAUGCACACAUCGCCCGUCGCUCUUACUAUUAAAGUAAGAUAAGUCGUAACAUAGUAGAUGUA